AUUAAACGCUGGCGGCAUGCCUUACACAUGCAAGUCGAACGGCAGCACGGGGGCAACCCUGGUGGCGAGCGGCGAACGGGUGAGUAAAGCAUCGGAACGUGCCCUGGAGUGGGGGGAUAACGUAGCGAAAGUUACGCUAAUACCGCAUAUUCUGUGAGCAGGAAAGCAGGGGAUCGCAAGACCUUGCGCUCUGGGAGCGGCCGAUGUCGGAUUAGCUAGUUGGUGGGGUAAAGGCCUACCAAGGCGACGAUCCGUAGCGGGUCUGAGAGGAUGAUCCGCCACACUGGGACUGAGACACGGCCCAGACUCCUACGGGAGGCAGCAGUGGGGAAUUUUGGACAAUGGGCGAAAGCCUGAUCCAGCCAUGCCGCGUGAGUGAAGAAGGCCUCGGUUGU
rnacentral:rRNA from 1 species